UCUCCAGUGGCUGAGUGAAUCCCAGGGAGGCACCCACUGUGUUUGGGCUGCUGUCUCUAGCUCAGGUUUAUAACAUCCUCACGGCUUGGACCAUGACAACAAUGUACCAUGGAAAUAACCAAGGCCUCCUCCUCUUCCUUCUGCCCAGGAAUGUGACUUUCCAAAGACGCUCCACUGAUCUGUGCUGUGGUUAUGUUCCACGGUGCUGGGGCAAGUUCUCUGGGGUGGAAGGCAUCCUGAGUGGUUUUCCCAGCCUGAAACCAAACUUCCAGUCACAGGAGCUGUGAAUCUGAAGGAACUAGAUCAGCUAUCCUCCAAAAUGGAAACCAUGUUAAAGAAGCUGUUUUCCCACAUCCACUUACUUGAAGACUCGCUUUUGAUUCUGAGACCUCUGUAGCAUCUCCUGGCAAGGACUGCCAGAGCGAGACAGAAACAAGCAUCACAGCAAGCAUGGAGGACCCAGCUCUGUGACCAUCUUGUUUACACAAAUCGGGAUUUGCGGGGCACAGAUUAGCUAAAUGUUACUUCAAUCAAAGCUGCAAGCCCAGCCUCAGUUCUUCCUUUCUGAACCAGUGCAUCUACACAGAAUAAGGAGAGGGGAAGGAUGCGUCGCUUUGGC